AAGCCAAUUAGUCGCCAUGGAAAUACCUUCCCACCUCCAUUAACUGCUGUGGAAAAGGGAAAACAGUCCGGGUGGACUCAAGAAAUAUAUGUCGCUCGCUGAACUCUGGCGGCGGCUGGCCCUGCUGCCCGGUGUGGAGCCUCCCGCGGGGCUUGGCCCUGGGCCCUUUGCUAUCUGCCGAUAAGGGGUUGGGCGUGUGGGGCAUGAGGCGCGCUUUGCGGCCGGGGACGCUGCUACUGGGUCCGCGGGAAGAAGAGUUGGAGACGAUUGUGAUAGCCUGAGACUGUGUGCUGCCCAUGGUUGCCUUGCCAACGAGUUUCCAUGAUAAGAGUGACGCUCCCAGAUCCUUGUCCAAUAGAACCUUGUCGAGCUUUAAAAAUUGAUAUAGUCCGUGAGAAGAUGUCAUAUCCGAGUAGAGAUGAGUUAAGAAAAAUAGCAGUUGCCAAAGUGCUCUUCUGUGUGGUGAUUCAAGAUAUUUCCAUCUCUUUGCAGGAAAGAGGCUUCUACUUAUAAUAAGGUAUCCAGCUGGAAGAGGCUAAAAGAACAAACUUUUUUUUAUUUUUAAAAAUUAUUUUAUUAGUGCAAAACAGAAAAAAUAAAAAGCAAACAGAAAAAAAGAAAACCUUGCAGGCUGCAAAAAAAAACCUAUUAGGUUUCCAAAUAUCCAAAAAUCCAUACACAGUUGUUGUCUAUAUGCAAUAUGUUCAAAUGUUGUUAAGUUUAUAAGGUCUUCAGUCCACUGAAUUAUAGGAAGUGGGCCUUUGUUUUUCCAGUGCUGAAGUAUAAGUCUUUUAGCAACUGUAAGGGCACAGAGGAUCCAGUUCCGUUGACCUUCAGUUAGAUUCCAAGAGACAGGCAAAUAGUUCAACAGUACAGUAACAUCCUCAAAAAUAAAUGAGUUUUCUAAUACAAAAUUAAAAUGUCUAAUAACAUUCUCCCAAAAGGGCUGAAUGACUUUCCAAAGCAUAUGCGUAAGAGAGAUAUCUUGUGAAUUAUACCAUCAACAGUUAGACACUGUGCUUAAACCUUUAGUAAAAAGGUGCUGUGGUGUCCAACAUACCCUAAACAUAAUUUUUGCUGAAUAAGUCACAACUUAAGAUACAUAGCAACAACAGGUAUAUGGCUUAAAGCCUUAUCCCAUGGUUUUAUUCCAUUCAAGAUUACGUGUAUCAUAUUUAUUAAUUGACCUCAAAUUUAUGUACAAAUAUUGUAGGUUUUGUUUUUGUCAGAUUGUAUAUAUAUUCUGCCUUUUACUAAAAAGAACAGAAACAUGAUGAUAAUGUACAAUCUUCUUAACAGCAUUCCCUGCAAGUUCCAUAAAUCACAUUGAGAACCUUUCGCUUUGAAGCAAUAUGAAAAUAUGUUUAAACAAAUACAUAUAAUGAGCUAGAUGGUUGGCUAAAAUAGCUCAAAUCAUAAUAACCCAUUUGGGUGAAUUCAUGGAUCCUGUUUUUAAUAAUAAUAAGUUGGUUGUGUGAAUUCAUGUACCUCGUCUUCCCAUAAACCAUAUUUGUAGCUGAGCUUAAAAUUAAAUUGUUGGAAAUCAGAUCUUAA